rnacentral:rRNA from 1 species
AAUCAACGCUGGCGGCGUGCCUCAGACAUGCAAGUCGAACGAUUAAGACUUCCUUCGGGAAGUGUAUAAAGUGGCGCACGGGUGAGUAACACGUAAGUAAUCUACCUUCGAGUGGGGAAUAACAUCGGGAAACCGAUGCUAAUACCGCAUAAUGCAGCGGCAUCGCAAGAUGACAGUUGUUAAAGGAGCAAUUCGCUUGAAGAGGGGCUUGCGGCAGAUUAGCUAGUUGGUAAGGUAAUGGCUUACCAAGGCUACGAUCUGUAUCCGGUCUAAGAGGACGGUCGGACACACUGACACUGAAUAACGGGUCAGACUCCUACGGGAGGCAGCAGUCGGGAAUGUUGGGCAAUGGGCGAAAGCCUGACCCAGCAACGCCGCGUGAGGGAUGAAGUAUUUCGGUAUGUAAACCUCGAAAGAAUGGGAAGAAUAAAUGACGGUACCAUUUAUAAGCUCCGGCUAACUACGUGCCAGCCGCCGCCGUAAUAC